CAGCGUCCUCGUCACCUGAUCGUCCUCGUCGCUUUUGUUGCCUCGUUGGCUUCACUUCGCCGCCGUUCAGAACAAAAUCCUUCCCUCAUGUCGCCGUCCACCGUGGGAGUGUCCCGACGGGAUGCACCGCGGCAGCGCACCGCUCCUCGCCUGCCUGCGCCGCCUCACCUGCCGUCCGCCACUUAUCCGCCAUUACCAGGUAAAUUGUAAUUAUCGGCGGGCAUUAGCGGUGCCUCCAUUCGUCACCUGAGCGGGAGGAUGUGGCCGCUACGAAUGCAUAUUAAGAGCAGACUCGAGACUUAUAUUUCCUUCCCUCCCUCCUCUCUCCCUCUCUCCCACCCUUUCCUGCCUGUCUGACUGCCUCCUGCUGCUGCCCUUUGCUGCCUGUCUGACUGCCUCCUGCUGCUGCCCUUUGCUGCCCUCACUGCUUUGCCCUCCCUCCCUUCCUUUAUUCUUCUCCUUCCUUCACUUCAUCUCGGUUUCUUUUCUUAUCUCCCUCCUUUUGUGUUUGUUUACUUUUUUUAUCAUGUGUUCAUAACUUAAUCACAGUAUAACUAUUGUUCUACUAUAUUAUUUUUUUUAAUUUAAGGAAACUUUUUUUUAUUUUCUGUAUUUAGCUUUUCAUUUGUAUUGCACUGUGUUUGUUUGCGAGGUAUUUUUGAUUUUCUACUCUUUACCUUCCUCCAUCCCUCCAUCUUUCCCGUUUCUCUUCUUUCCUUCCUGCCUCCCUCUUUAGCUCACCCCCCCU